CUCCUAGUAGGAGGUUGGGGGCGAGGACGAGGUUGGAGAUCAGCCAGGACUGGGAUCAGUCUGAGCUGAGCAUUCUACCUGGACCUCACAAUGGGGGCGGGGGGCUUGCCCCCACCCUCCCCCGACACCCUGGACUGUAACCCUGCCUGGACUGUAACUGUGGCCCUGGGAACCAGUGCUUACAUCCCUUCAGCGGAGAAGACCUCUGCUCGUGGUAGAACAUCUCUGCUGGGCUGUCCUCCAGCAGGCAGUCGUCUGGCUUUAAAGAAGAUGACUCUCACGGGGCGGGCUUCAGCCAGCCAGUCGCAGGCCUGCCAUGCAGCACUCUGAGGGUGUCCAGGGAAGAAGGAUUCUUUCUCAACCGUCCUACACGUCCCGUCGGAAUUUCCCGCCUGCUGGCUUGCUCUGCAGAUUUCGAACUUGCCAACCCUGCAAUUGUAUGAGCCAAUUCCUUCAAACUGAUCUUGGAAUAGAUAAGAACUCUGGCUGAUA